AACGUACGCUGGCGGCACGCCUAACACAUGCAAGUCGAACGAAGUAGCAAUACUUAGUGGCAGACGGGUGAGUAACAUGUAGGUAUCUGCCCUUUGGCCUGGAAUAACACGAGGAAACUUGUGCUAAUACCGGAUAAGUCUUUACGGAGAAAGCUUUAUGCACCAUUGGAUGAGCCUGCACUUGAUUAGUUUGUUGGUGGGGUAAUGGCCUACCAAGACUGUGAUCAAUAGCUGAUUUGAGAGGAUGAUCAGCCACAUUGGGACUGAGACACGGCCCAAACUCCUACGGGAGGCAGCAGUGGGGAAUCUUGCACAAUGGAGGAAACUCUGAUGCAGCGAUGCCGCGUGAGUGAAGAAGGCCUUUGGGUUGUAAAGCUCUUUCGUCGGGGAAGAAAAUGACUGUACCCGAAUAAGAAGGUCCGGCUAACUUCGUGCCAGCAGCCGCGGUAAUACGAAGGGACCUAGCGUAGUUCGGAAUUACUGGGCUUAAAGAGUUCGUAGGUGGUUGAAAAAGUUAGUGGUGAAAUCCCAGAGCUUAACUCCGGAACUGCCAUUAAAACUUUUCAGCUAGAGUACGAUAGAGGAAAGCAGAAUUUCUAGUGUAGAGGUGAAAUUCGUAGAUAUUAGAAAGAAUACCAAUUGCGAAGGCAGCUCUACUGGAUCAUUACUGA
rnacentral:rRNA from 1 species